CAGCAGCCGCGGGAAUACGGAGGGUGCAAGCGUUAUCCGGAUUUAUUGGGUUUAAAGGGUCCGUAGGCGGAUCUGUAAGUCAGUGGUGAAAUCUCACAGCUUAACUGUGAAACUGCCAUUGAUACUGCAGGUCUUGAGUAAAUUUGAAGUGGCUGGAAUAAGUAGUGUAGCGGUGAAAUGCAUAGAUAUUACUUAGAACACCAAUUGCGAAGGCAGGUCACUAAGAUUUAACUGACGCUGAUGGACGAAAGCGUGGGGAGCGAACAGGAUUAGAUACCCCGGUAGUCCCUGUCUCUUAUAA
rnacentral:rRNA from 1 species